rnacentral:rRNA from 1 species
AAUGAACGUUGGCGGCGUGGAUUAGGCAUGCAAGUCGAGCGAGAAGUUUUAAAAGAUACCUCGGUUGAUUUUAAAAUGGACAGCGGCGAAAGGGAGAGUAACGAGUAGAUACGUACCCAAGGGUCCGGAAUAGCAGGGGGAAACCGCUGGUAAUGCCGGAUAAUGUUUCCGAACCAAAGAUUUAUUGCCCUCGGAUCGGUCUGCUUACUAUUAGCUUGUUGGUGGGGUAAUGGCCUACCAAGGCUCAGAUGGUUAGCGGGUGUGAGAGCAUGGCCCGUCUCACUGGGACUGAGACACUGCCCAGACACCUACGGGUGGCUGCAGUCGAGAAUCUUCCGCAAUGGACGAAAGUCUGACGGAGCGACGCCGCGUGCGGGAUGAAGGCCCUCGGGUUGUAAACCGCUGUCAUAGGGGAGGAAAUUUUGACCGAUCCUAAGAGGAAGCACAGGCUAAGUUCGUGCCAGCCGCCGCGGUAA